GCCACUGCUAUCGGAGUUCGAUUAAGCCAUGCGAGCCGAGAGGUGYAAGACCUCGGCAUACUGCUCAGUAACACGUGGACAAUCUAACCUAAGGUGGGGGAUAACCCCGGGAAACUGGGGAUAAUACCCCAUAGACUAUGGGUGCUGGAAUGCUCUGUAGUUGAAAGGUCCGCCGCCAUAGGAUGAGUCUGCGGCCGAUUAGGUUGUWGUUGGGGUAACGGCCCAACAAGCCUGUAAUCGGUACGGGUUGUGGGAGCAAGAGCCCGGAGAUGGAUUCUGAGACACGAAUCCAGGCCCUACGGGGCGCAGCAGGCGCGAAAACKUUACAAUGCGGGAAACCGUGAUAAGGGAACUCCGAGUGCCCGUAAAAUCGGGCUGUCCACCAGUGCAAAUAACUGGUGAAGAAAGGGCCGGGCAAGACCGGUGCCAGCCGCCGCGGUAAUACCGGCGGCUCGAGUGGUGGCCACUAUUACUGGGCUUAAAGCGUUCGUAGCUGGUCUGUUAAGUCUCUGGGGAAAUCUACUGGCUUAACCAAUAGGCAUCUCAGGGAUACUGGCAGAAUAGGGACCGGGAGAGGUGAGGGGUACUYCAGGGGUAGGAGUGAAAUCCUGUAAUCCUUGGGGGACCACCUGUGGCGAAGGCGCCUYACCAGRACGGGUCCGACAGUGAGGGACGAAAGCUGGGGGAGCCAACCGGAUUAGAAACCCGGGUAGUCCCAGCUGUAAACGAUGCGCGUUAGGUGUAUYGGUGACCACGAGUYACCGAGGUGCCGAAGGGAAAUUGUGAAACGUACCGCCUGGGAAGUACGGUUGCAAGGCUGAAAAUUAAAGGAAUUGGCGGGGGAGCACCACAACAGGUGGAGCCUGCGGUUUAAUUGGAAUUAAAGCCGGGRAUYUYACCGGAUAAGACAGCUGGAUGAUAGUCGGGCUGAAGACUUUACUUGAMUAGCUGAGAGGAGGUGCAUGGCCGUUGUCAGUUUGUACUGUGAAGCAUCCUGUUAAGUCAGG
rnacentral:rRNA from 1 species